rnacentral:rRNA from 1 species
GAUGAACGCUGGCGGCGUGCUUAACACAUGCAAGUCGACCGGAAAGGCCCUGCUUUUGUGGGGUGCUCGAGUGGCGCGCGGGUGAGUAACACGUGAGUAACCUGCACCUGUCUUAGGGAUAUCUUCAGGACACUGCGGCUAAUACCGGAUAGGCGCUCCUGCAGCAUAGUGUUCGUUGGAAAGUUUCGGCGGUGCGGGCUGUACUCGGGGCUUAUGAGCUUGUUGGUGGAGUAGUGGCUUACCAAGGCUUAGACGGGUAGCCGGCCUGGGAAGGGGACCGGGCACAAUGGGACUGAGGUACGGCCCAGAAGCCUACGGGCGGCAGCAGGUGGGAAUAUUGCACAAUGGGACGAAGCGUGAGAUAGAGACGUUGCGUGCGGAAUAACGGCUUUUUAGGUAUGAACAGCUGUGGCCGUUGAGGAAGCGUGAGUGACGGUAACGAGUAAAGAAGCACCGGCUAACUACGUG